CCGUAAACCCAGGUAGUCAUAAAACAAGACUAUUCGCCAGAGUACUACUAGCAACAGCCUAAAACUCAAAGGACUUGGCGGUGCUUCAUACCCCCCUAGAGGAGCCUGUUCUAUAACCGAUAAACCCCGAUCAACCUCACCAACCCUUGCUACUUCAGUCUAUAUACCGCCAUCUUCAGCAAACCCUAAAAAGGAAUGAAAGUAAGCAUAACUAUCCUACGUAAAAACGUUAGGUCAAGGUGUAACCCAUGGGAUGGGAAGAAAUGGGCUACAUUUUCUACACCAUAGAACACCCUAUACCCCACGAAAGUUUUUAUGAAACCUAAAAACCAAAGGAGGAUUUAGCAGUAAAUUAAGAACAGAGUGCUUAAUUGAAUAAGGCC
rnacentral:rRNA from 1 species